UGUGUGAAGCCCAUCGGGAUGUCUAAAUGGAGAAGUCCAGCAACAAUGGAGAUGUGGGGCAGAUUGGCCUUCUGCAUUCCUGAUGGACCAACACGGCUGACCACACAUGCAAACGGAAGUAACAAUGACCUACAAGUAUGAUUGUGGAGGCACUGAUACAGGCCAUCCAUCUAGAGAAGUUGUUUCCUAAUUCUAUGUCCUAAAACAGUUUGAGGUCUGAAAUCCAACUAUUAGCACUUCACACUGUUAGCAUAAAGGUAAAGCCUAUUAAGCUUUUGCAUGUGAGUACCUCCCUACAGUGUGGGAGACUGGGAAGGCCACUUAAGUCACACUUAGCCUGAAGACAGUCCCAAACAUUGAUAUGUCCCAGUUACAACUGCUCUCAGAGUUAAGAACAUGGCCUUGAAGAACUGGAACAAGAAGAACCUUUGGAUCCUACAUAAUGCAGCGAUGGGUCAGAGAGAUAUCAAGGGUUCAUAGAUUGGGAGAACCUUUCUGCAACUCUGUCUUCUGUCUUUCUUUAUAGGCCCCCUUCCUGCUUUAUAAUUUUUAUUUUAUUUCUCUAUUAAUAACUUCAUUGUUGAAGCCUCAGGAAAUUCCAAGCCUAUUCCUCCCAUCAAAAAUGAAAGGAAUGCAUUAAAUGGUGCAUUCCCAUUAAACUUUGAUUUACAUCAUAAAACAGAUUAAUAAAAAUGGAAGUACUCUGUUGGAGGGGAAAUAUACUAAAAAAUCUUUUAGGGCUAUCUGAAUUAACAUGAAAUAAUACCAAACACAGAGAUAGAAAACAAGAGAGAGAGAAAGGUAUUGACUGAGAAAAAAAGCAGGACUGGAAACCUGCAGCCAGCUAAGUGGUGUGACUCAUAGCUCUCAGUUUUUGGUAGACAGCUGAAGCCAGAGAACAUUCAGAGCUGUAGACAAACACUUAAAUUAGGCGUCCUGGUGGAGCAACUGUAACUGCCUGUCCUGCAGUGCAUAUAAGGUCAUCAUUGUUAUGUUGAUUAAUGAAGCUCCGGAGAACCCCUCCUGGCCAAAAACAAUGCGUGUUACAAAUGGUUCCAACUAAAUCCACAAUAUUGCUCAUUUCAACUAUGCCAAAGACUUCAACAGAACAAUCAUGGGUCAAGAGCUAUGUCAUAUAUGCCAGAAAUCGGGAUUGUUUCAAGUCAUCAAUGAGCGGAGGAAAAUACCCUAAAGUGGUGAUUCCUAGUGUUCUCCCCGGUUCUAGGACAGUGUGGGGCCUAGAAAGUUACCCAAUUUCCCAACCAGGCUGCUGUUGCAUUUAUGUACUUCGUUUAUUUAUAUAAACAUUAGGACUUUUGGCCACAAACAGAUUGGAAACCACUGGCUGAAAUAAUUGGCAUGCCUGACAGAUGUUAGUUGGAAACAAGGUACGGGAAGAAAACAUGAAAAAAGAUGGAUAGUCACAUUCCCGUGAAGAAGGGUUUGCUUCAGUGGUGUGCUAGAGCCAGCUCGCACCAGCUCACAAGAACCAGCUGGCCACAUCUCCCCCCAGUCCAGCAUUCACUGACUUCAGGUUGGUAGUUUAUUGUUGACCAUGGUGGGAGUUUUUCCACCAUAGAAAUUGCCAGAUGCGGCCAGGUGUGAUGGCUCACGCUUGUAAUCCCAGCACUUUGGGAAGCCGAGGAGGGCAGAUCACCUGAGGUUGGGAGUUCAAGUCCAGCCUGACCAACAUGGAGAAAUCCUGUCUCUACUAAAAGUACAAAAUUAGCCAGGCAUGGUGGUGGAUGCCUGUAAUCCCAGCUAUUCAGGAGGCUGAGGCUCGCUUGAACCCAGGAGGAGGAGGUUGUGGUGAGCCGAGAUUGUGCCAUUGUACUCCAGCCUGGGCAACAAGAGAGAUACUCCA
ensembl:lncRNA